rnacentral:rRNA from 1 species
CCUACGGGAGACAGCAGUGGGGAAUAUUGGGCAAUGGGCGCAAGCCUGACCCAGCAACGCCGCGUGAAGGAAGAAGGCUUUCGGGUUGUAAACUUCUUUUCUCAGGGAAGAAGAAAGUGACGUUACCUGCGGAUUAAGCAAGGGCUACCUACGUGCCAGCAGCCGCGGUAAUAGGUAGGUGGCAAGCGUUAUCCGGAUUUAUGGGGUGUAAAGGGCGUGUAGGCGGGAGCGCAAGUCAGAUGUGAAACCUCAGGGCUCAACCCUGAGCCUGCAUUUGAAACUGUGUUUCUUGAGUGCUGGAGAGGCAGGCGGAAUUCCGAGUGUAGCGGUGAAAGGCGUAGAUAUACGGAGGAACACCAGUGGCGAAGGCGGAUUGCUGGACAGUAACUGACGCUGAGGCGCGAAAGCGUGGGGAGCAAACAGGAUUAGAUACCCGUGUAGUC